GACAGAGGUCCCGAGCGUUAGGCGGAAUCACUGGGCUUAAAGCGUGUGUAGGUGGCGGCCUAAGUACCUUGUGAAAUCCCACGGCUCACCCGUGGAACUGCUCGGUAUACUGGGUCGCUUGAGCCACUUAGGGGCUACCGGAACAAAUGGUGGAGCGGUGAAAUGCGUAGAUAUCAUUUGGAACGCCAAUGGUGAAAACAGGUAGCUGGGAGUGUGCUGACGCUGAGACACGAAAGCCAGGGGAGCAAACGGG
rnacentral:rRNA from 1 species